GGGAAACUGCCUGAUGGAGGGGGAUAACUACUCGAAACGGUAGCUAAUACCGCAUAACGUCGCAAGACCAAAGAGGGGGACCUUCGGGCCUCUUGCCAUCCGAUGUGCCCAGAUGGGAUUAGCUAGUAGGAGGGGUAAUGGCUCACCUAGGCGACGAUCCCUAGCUGGUCUGAGAGGAUGACCAGCCACACUGGAACUGAGACACGGUCCAGACUCCUACGGGAGGCAGCAGUGGGGAAUAUUGCACAAUGGGCGCAAGCCUGAUGCAGCCAUGCCGCGUGUGUGAUGAAGGCCUUCGGGUUGUAAAGCACUUUCAGCGAGGAGGAAGGUGGUGAGCUUAAUACGCUCAUCAAUUGACGUUACUCGCAGAAGAAGCACCGGCUAACUCCUUGCCAGCAGCCGCGGUAAUACGGAGGGUGCAAGCGUUAAUCGGAAUUACUGGGCGUAAAGCGCACGCAGGCGGUUUGUUAUGUCAGAUGUGAUAUCCCCGGGCUCAACCUGGGAACUGCAUUUGAAACUGGCAAGCUAGAGUCUCGUAGAGGGGGGUAGAAUUCCAGGUGUAGCGGUGAAAUGCGUAGAGAUCUGGAGGAAUACCGGUGGCGAAGGCGGCCCCCUGGACGAAGACUGACGCUCAGGUGCGAAAGCGUG
rnacentral:rRNA from 1 species